CGAUGUGAUGAUGGGCAAAACGUUCAACUGCUCUGAACUGACUAUAUGAAACUAGCCUUUCUAAACAACC